rnacentral:rRNA from 1 species
UACGGGGGGGGCAAGCGUUGUUCGGAAUUACUGGGCGUAAAGGGCUCGUAGGCGGCCAACUAAGUCAGACGUGAAAUCCCUCGGCUUAACCGGGGAACUGCAUCUGAUACUGGAUGGCUUGAGUUCGGGAGAGGGAUGCGGAAUUCCAGGUGUAGCGGUGAAAUGCGCAGAUAUCAGGAGGAACACCGGUGGCGAAGGCGGGUCUCUGGGCCGAUAUUGACGCUGAGGAGCGAAAGCGUGGGGAGCGAACAGG